AUUGAACGCUGGCGGCAUGCUUUACACAUGCCAGUCGAACGGCAGCGCGGGCUUCGGCCUGGCGUCGAGUGGCGAACGGGUGAGUAAUACAUCGGAACGUGCCCAGUCGUGGGGGAUAGCUCGGCGAAAGCCGGAUUAAUACCGCAUACGACCUGAUGGUGAAAGCGGGGGAUCUUCGGACCUCGCGCUAUUUGAGCGGCCGAUGGCAGAUUAGCUAGUUGGUGGGGUAAAGGCCUACCAAGGCGACGAUCUGUAGCUGGUCUGAGAGGACGACCAGCCACACUGGGACUGAGACACGGCCCAGACUCCUACGGGAGGCAGCAGUGGGGAAUUUUGGACAAUGGGCGAAAGCCUGAUCCAGCAAUGCCGCGUGUGUGAUGAAGGCCUUCGGGUUGUAAAGCACUUUUGGCGGGAACGAAAAGGACUGUGCCAAUACCACGGUUCGAUGACGGUACCCGAAGAAUAAGCAACGGCUAACUACGUG
rnacentral:rRNA from 1 species